GGGGUAGGAGCACUCUCAAACCAGGAGGUAGGAGCACUCUCAAACCAGGGGGUAGGAGCACUCUCAAACCAGGGGGCGGGAGCACUCUCAAACCAGGAGGUAGGAGCACUCUCAAACCAGGAGGUAGGAGCACUCUCAAACCAGGAGCUAGGAGCACUCUCAAACCAGGGGGCGGGAGCACUCUCAAACCAGGGGGUAGGAGCACUCUCAAACCAGGGGGCGGGAGCACUCUCAAACCAGGGGGUAGGAGCACUCUCAAACCACGGGGCGGGAGCACUCUCAAACCAGGAGGUAGGAGCACUCUCAAACCAGGGGGUAGGAG
ensembl:lncRNA